rnacentral:tRNA from 1 species
GGGCUUCUGGCGCAAUGGCAACGCGUUUGACUUCGAAUCAAAAGAUUGCAGGUUCGAUCCCUGCGGGGCUCA